rnacentral:rRNA from 1 species
CCUACGGGUGGCUGCAGUGGGGAAUAUUGGACAAUGGGGGCAACCCUGAUCCAGCCAUGCCGCGUGUGUGAAGAAGGCCCUCGGGUUGUAAAGCACUUUCAGUGAGGAAGAACGCCUGGUGGUUAAUACCCAUCAGGAAAGACAUCACUCACAGAAGAAGCACCGGCUAACUCCGUGCCAGCAGCCGCGGUAAUACGGAGGGUGCGAGCGUUAAUCGGAAUUACUGGGCGUAAAGCGCGCGUAGGUGGCUUGAUAAGCCGGUUGUGAAAGCCCCGGGCUCAACCUGGGAACGGCAUCCGGAACUGUCAAGCUAGAGUGCAGGAGAGGAAGGUAGAAUUCCCGGUGUAGCGGUGAAAUGCGUAGAGAUCGGGAGGAAUACCAGUGGCGAAGGCGGCCUUCUGGACUGACACUGACACUGAGGUGCGAAAGCGUGGGUAGCAAACAGGAUUAGAUACCCCUGUAGUA